rnacentral:rRNA from 1 species
UACGGAGGGUGCAAGCGUUAUCCGGAUUCACUGGGUUUAAAGGGUGCGUAGGUGGGUUGGUAAGUCAGUGGGGAAAUCCCCGAGCUUAACUUGGGAACUGCCAUUGAUACUAUCAGUCUUGAAUACUGUGGAGGUCAGCAGAAUAUGUCAUGUAGCGGUGAAAUGCUUAGAUAUGACAUAGAAUACCAAUUGCGAAGGCAGCUGGCUACACAAAUAUUGACACUGAGGCACGAAAGCGUGGGGAUCAAACAGG